AGCUACUGUAAGAAAAAGGAGAGUUAUUUUUGGAAGGUCUUUUAUGAAGAGGUAGUGCUUUUUUGGCUUUGGCACUGGGGAUUGUGUUUUAUUUCAGCCUGAAUCCUGUGAUGAGGCUGAAGAUGUAAAUGACAAAAGACAAAGAUAAGCUUCAGGGAGUGAUGGCCAUUUUCUCCAGCUCUUUAUUUUCAAGUUAUGCUCACCAUGUCCCUGCCAGCCAAGAGGUGUGGAAGGCCCCCAGUGUUGUCUUUUCUGGAGAAGAAAAAGAGAAAGCAAAGUCUUGAUAGAAGAAGGGGGAAAACAAGGAUUUAUGUGGGAAAUCACAUUGAUCGGUGGUUGACACUUAAAGAAAAAUUUGAUUUCAGAAAUGAUGCAGAAGUCGCAGGUUUUUUACUGGACAUGUAUGAUAGCUAUGACCCGUUGUCUAAAGCGCCACACUGUCCCCUCUCUGAGGGUGUGUGAAGGAUAACUGGGAAUGAAGAAAGAGCAUUGUCAGCCAGCACUCCUUUAAUAGCAGCAGAUGGAACGUAUGACAAUGAUGACCAGCUGCCUAAAGAAUCUGCUUGUUGUGGAUUUGGAGAUGUGAGAACUGUAACUGUGAAAGAGAAGUGAGAGAUACCAGGGGACUACACUUUGACAAGGACAGAGGACACAUUAGUGAUACUGAGGUUUUUUGCAUGUUUCUCACUUGGAAUUUAUGGAUUUUAUUAUCAUAUUUAAUUUUGUUUAUUAGAAACUCGUAUCAUUCAUGCUCUGCUUCAUUAUCUAAAAGUAUCUUGGUACAUAAUCAAUGGUCCAGUCCUUCUGAGGCAAGAAUCUGAAAGAGGUAUCAGAAAAGUUGUAAAAUACCUAAGAGUACAAGCAACAAACCCAGUGACUGCCUUCCUUAAUUGUGUACAGGGCUCAUGAGUGAUCAAGGAAACAGCCAGUACUUUACAUGUGCCCCCAUCAGCAGUUAGGCUUUUACAGCAGUGCAGUGUCCAGGCAGCUGCAUGUGCUUUAACCUUUCUCAAAAGAAAGAAGUUUCAUUGUUGACCAAGUGAUGUUGCACACUAAGUGAUGUGUUAAACUAUCUAAAAAUAGUGCUGUGCUCAGCGAGGCCACCCCAUGGACUGCUGGUGUCUGUUACUGCAGUGUCUUCAGUAACUGGGGCAUUCCCAGUUGAGAUCAGAGGAGCCUCCAAUAGGGAGACACAGAGACCAUAGGAGAUUGCAUUGGCAUUGCAUGAUGUGUCCAAACCCCUCGCCAAUAUGGUGAAGUGAACGAGUUGGGGUUCAGAAAGCAAUUCUAUGGCAGAGAAGAAUUCUUGGAAGCUGGAUCAGGAGCAAAUAAACACCAGUGCUGAUGAAGCUGAAAAAUUCAAGUGCAUUCUUCAAAAUAGCAUUUUUCUCUGGCACUAUAAUUUUGGUUUGGAGUGCAGCAGUAACUGAAUUCCUGGGACUGAUUUGAUACAGGGUGAGCAGCAAGAAGAAAAUCAAGCUCUUGCGUAACAGUACUGGGGCAGUUUUUACUCCAUUUUGAUUUUGCUGUGAGGUUAUUGUGAACUGUAAAGAAUUACUGAAAGAAAUAUAACAUGUCUCAUAUAUUGGAAGGCAUUUCUGCAGUUGAUUGAGUCCCUGAAAAAUGAUGGGUAAAAAUGCUGGACUGUAGAUUGCAUUGUGUUGGUGCCUUGGAAAAAAUGAGUAAUUGAGAUCAGCUACUCAGGAGGGCAGAUGAAAGUGCAGGUUGCAGUAGAUAAUUCUCAUAGGUGAAAAUUAUUGUUGUCUGUAACAUCCUGAUUCAGUGUGUUGUGUGGGCUUGCAGAUAUGAGCUUGGGACAGCUUCCAAAAGCCAUAGCCAGGAGAGGAUCUCUGAUGGAAGUCUAGAAAUGCUCUAGUGAAUGUGCACAGUGUUCCUGUCAGACCCCAUUCCAAGGCUGUGCAGGGCUGCCAGGCUAUCCAGGGUAACAGCGGCUCUGGGGUGGAAUGGGAGCUUGGGCUCGUGUUCCAGCUUCCACAGCUGCUGCUGCUGCUCUCUCCUCUUCCUUUUCUAGUCUCCCCACAGCCUCUGACUCACUUUGUGAGUCCAUGUGAUAACCUGGAGACGGAGCUCACCUAAAUACACCCUCGAAGGGUGGUAUCUUUGAUUGGGUUUUUUAUUCCUGUCAUUUCUUUCAUGUGGUUUGUUCUCAGUCACACCAGGGAGGUGCUGGGAGGCUGGGAGCCAGUGGCAAACCAGGAAAUGACACUACCACUGCAAUCUUGGGAUUCAACUGUGGGCUAAACAUUGAUCUGUGAUGCGAAACACCUUUUCACUUUGUCAUCGUGCAUACACGGCGGAAAAAGCUCAUCCAGCUAUUCAGAUUAUUAUGUCAAGUUACUCUGGGAUCUUAGGCAAAUAAUACUUAUUUUUGGUGACAAAUUUAAAGCCUGUUGAUCAUUAGAUAUAGGAUAUCAAGGGUUUAGCUUAAAAUUGGGCUUCCAGAAUGCUGAUUUUAAGAACUUUUUCCUUCAUUUGCCUAUUCCGCUUCAUGCAUUCCUAAUAAAAAAAACCAAACAGGUGUUAAGAGGGAAAAAAAGAAGUUUGUGAGGAUACUUAGUAGAUGUUUUAAAUUAUCUUCUUUCAAAUUUUUAUUACUCUUUGAUAUCAGAUCUUUGUGGUGUAAAAUGGCAAAGGUGAGUUCCGAACUGCAGGGCAGUAUUGAUGUAUUUAAUGGUGAGGUGACACCAGGUGUUCCCAAAGAGGGCAAGUUUUUAAAAUUCUGUAUUGGGAACUGGAAGAAGAUUGGAAGAAAAAAAUAUUAUUAGAUACAAAAAUUGGAUGUCCAGUGAUCCUCUCUCCUUUUCUGCUUGUAUCCAUGCUAAUCUUGGUUUAUUCAGUUACAGCUGCUGUGAGUGAUGUUUUUCUUCCUCUCUUGUGUACUAAAACCCUGCCUCUGCAAUUACUGCAACUCUUUUAUUGGGGAAAAAUAGCCUUUCAGUCUUUUUUUACAAAGAAAGAAAAUUAUUGGAGUGAGAUUUUCAGCUGCAUUUACAUGUUUGGGUUUGUUUAAAGACCGAACAGAAUCCCAGGUGUCUGAUUUUCAAAAAAAGUUGAUAAACUGAAUGAAAAAUGUUAUCUGUGGAAGAAAUUGAAGACUCUUACUGGUGUUAAUUACAGUAAGUAUGUUCUUA